rnacentral:rRNA from 1 species
AUUGAACGUUGGCGGCAGGCCUAACACAUGCAAGUCGAGCGCGAAAGGCCUUCGGGCUGAGUAGAGCGGCGGACGGGUGAGUAACGCGUAGGAAUCUACCUGGUAGUGGGGGACAACUUGGGGAAACUCAAGCUAAUACCGCAUACGCCCUAAGGGGGAAAGCGGGGGACCUUCGGGCCUCGCGCUAUCAGAUGAGCCUGCGUAGGAUUAGCUAGUUGGUGAGGCAAAGGCUCACCAAGGCGACGAUCCUUAGCUGGUCUGAGAGGAUGAUCAGCCACACUGGGACUGAGACACGGCCCAGACUCCUACGGGAGGCAGCAGUGGGGAAUAUUGCGCAAUGGGGGCAACCCUGACGCAGCCAUGCCGCGUGUGUGAAGAAGGCCUUCGGGUUGUAAAGCACUUUCAAUGGGGAAGAAAAGCGUAGCGUUAAUAGCGUUGCGCCGUGACGUUACCCAUAGAAGAAGCACCGGCUAACUCCGUGCCAGCCGCCGCCGUAA